UUACUUUGGCAGUACAUAUACUAAAACUGGAACAAUACAAAGAUUGGCAUGGCCCCUACAUAAGGAUGACAAGCAAAUUCAUGAAGCAUUCCAUAUUUUU
ensembl:snRNA U6 U6 spliceosomal RNA